rnacentral:pre_miRNA from 14 species
GUGGCUCUGUCCGUCUCGCGGCUGCCGGGGGCAUUUUUGUGAUUUGCAGCUCGUGGUCUGGGUCCAGUUGCAUAGUCACAAAAGUGAUCGUCGGCGGCCGCGCCUGCUGCUGCCGGACC